rnacentral:lncRNA from 1 species
CGGCACAGCCGCGACCUGAGGGGCGCCGCGACUUGGCGGGACCCGCCGGGGGGCGGAGGAGGGCAGGGGGCGCGGGGAAGGGGCGCAGGGGCACAGGCGAGCCGGCGGCCGCGCGCCCUUACCUGUCAGCUCCCUGGGGACCUCGGAGCCCUCCUCGGUCAUGGUGGCCCUGCAGGCGCGCGGGCAGGGCCGCUGCGACUCUGAUUCACGGCCCCCCGCCCUCCCCCGAGAACCUCAAUUUCCAGAGGCAGCCGCAGGUUGCGCACGGGAGGAGGCAAGAAAGCGAGGGCGGGGAUACGAUUCUGCCGCGCCCCCCGCCCCUCCAAAAAAAAAAAAAAAGAGUUGCAAAUACGAGGUGGGUCCGCUGCGGCUGCGGCUGCGGCCGCCGCUACAUGUCGCCUCCGCGCAGUUCCCGGCGGCGAAGCGGAGACCCGCGGGAUUCCGGGCUGCGGCUGCGGCUGCGGCUGCGGCUCCGGCUCCGGCCACGGCCACGGCCGGCUCCCGCCCAGCCCUGCCCCGCAGCGCACCUAGGGCUCUAGGAGCUAGACGAAACCCGAAAUCGCUGACCAUGUGGGGAGAAGACACUUUUCUGGGCUCGGCGGGAGCCCUGCAGCCGGAGCUGGGAGUGGAGAGCGCGCUUCCGCCCAAGCUUUUCACUCGUGGGUAGGGGCGGGGGGUCUCCUUUCACCCCGGGGCUCAGUCGGAGAGCGGAGCAGUGUUCACCGGAGCCCAAGUAAGGCUGCUGAUAGGUCUGCUCCUGCCUGGCCUGGAUCCCUCGACUUCCCCCGACUCCACCCCCAGAGGGACAACUCCGCGGCCGGGAGCACUAGUGAGACCAGUGAGCUCUCCGACAGCGGCUCUCUUCCCUGGCAGCUGGGAAGGUCUCUGUCAAUCAGGUUCUGCUUUUAAAGGACAGAAAGAAAGGAGGAAGGAAAGGGGAUCCCCUGAUUUUAAACCUACUGUCGACCUUGGAUCCACGAGAGAAAUCUCCAGCCUCCCCACCCGGCAUUCGCAUCAAGGCACCUCCCAGUGUGGUCCUUGCUACCCCUCUAACCCCUCCCACUCCCCACUCCUGCAACCCGACUCUGUCAAGACUUCUUGCCUUCCCCAUCCCUUUAAGGCUAUCUGAUGCUUACCUGUGUUUUCAAUCCAGUCCAAUGCACACCUUCUUUGUGAAGAUUUUCAGGGGUUUUCCAGCCCUGUGAUCCCUGUAUUGGAACACCACCAGAAUAUAUUGCCUGAAACCUCUGUAAGCCAACCGUGCAGCGCCUUCUUUCACUGCUAGUGUACUUGUAUAGUUUUACUGUUUAACCUUGCAUUGUUCCCGGAGUCGGGGUUUGUCUGCCCAACUAACUAGACUGGUUGACUUGAGGACCGGACUUUGAGAUAAAGUCUGAGAUAGACUUUUAAACUCCCUCAACAGACUCGUUCAAAAUACGUGUUCAAUAAACAUUUAACUGGUUGGAUUUAAAGCUUAUGGCCUCAGGCUCCCAGAUGUUUGUCUCAAAAAUUGGAACCUGCUGUAAGUUAGACAUUUCCUUUAUGCCUUAAAUAUCUUUUAUAUGCAAUAAAUGGAAAUUAACAUCUCAAAACUAUCCUCCAUUCAACUGUGUGUGCGAUAAAGAGGAUUUUUCUGGCAAACACCAAUAGAGUUUGAGAAAUAGCCCUGAGGGGUUCCCUGGGGAAGGCAGGUGGUUUAGCACCUGCCUUCCGCCUACAGCGUAAUCCCGGAGCCCUGGGAUCAAGUCCCCACAUCAGGCUCUCUGCAUGAAUCCUGCUUCUCCCUCUGCCUGUGUCUCUGCCUCUGUAUCUCUCAUGAAUAAAUAAAUAAAAUAUUUUUUUAAAAAGAGAGAGAAAUAGCCCUGAAGUUUCCAA